rnacentral:tRNA from 1 species
GAGUGUAUAGCUCAGUGGUCAGAAUGCAUGCUUAGCAUGCAUGAGGUCCUGGGUUCAUUCCCAAGUAUCUCCA